UUGAACGCUGGCGGAAUGCUUUACACAUGCAAGUCGAGCGGCAGCGCGGGGGCAACCCUGGCGGCGAGCGGCGAACGGGUGAGUAAUACAUUGGAACGUACCCAGUUGUGGGGGAUAGCCCGGCGAAAGCCGGAUUAAUACCGCAUAAGUCCUGAGGGAGAAAGCGGGGGACCGUAAGGCCUCGCGCGAUUGGAGCGGCCGAUGUUCGAUUAGCUAGUUGGUGGGGUAAAGGCCUACCAAGGCGACGAUCGAUAGCUGGUCUGAGGAGACGACCAGCCACACUGGAACUGAGACACGGUCCAGACUCCUACGGGAGGCAGCAGUGGGGAAUUUUGGACAAUGGGGGCAACCCUGAUCCAGCCAUUCCGCGUGCAGGAUGAAGGCCUUCGGGUUGUAAACUGCUUUUGUACGGAACGAAAAGACUCCCUCUAAUAAAGGGGGUUCAUGACGGUACCGUAAGAAUAAGCACCGGCUAACUACGU
rnacentral:rRNA from 1 species